rnacentral:lncRNA from 1 species
CAGGACGUCCUCUACGGCCACUUCCGUGGAUCUAGGUUAGAGGCGGGGGGUGGUGCUGACCUUGAGAGCGCGUCGGGGAGGCGCAGGCGCAGCCCAGGUAGGUGGGCGGGCGGCGCGCAGUUGCGGCGCGUGCCAGGAUCCUGAGGUAGGCGUGUGGUCUGGGUCGGAGAGCUUCCUCGCCCUGGAGGUGGUGGAGGUGCAGGUUGGUAAGCGAGAUACCAGCUGAAGCCAGAAGGACAUCUACCAAGAGCAGAGAAACCAGGAGGAGAAUUCUGCCUAUUUAAUGCAUUCCGAAAUGGACCGUUUCCUUUUAGUUUAAAAAAUAUAUUUCAUCAUCUGGAAAAAAGUGGAACUCCUCUAUAAGUCUUAAUUUUGUGUUGUUUUUUCCGAAAUCUGUACCUGUCAACUCUCUCUGCCUUUUUAUUUGGCUAUAACAAGUUAUAGUACUGGAGGCAGGCUUGAAGUGGAUAUACACAGCACCUUUAACCCGGAAAUUAAUGUCACAACUUGGGGAUCCUUGCUUCAGUCGGUCAUGAUAGAUGAUCUGCAGUUUCAUCUAUGGGGUCUGUUUUGCCAUAGUAUCUAGUUUUAUCUUAAAGCUGGAAUUGGAAAGGGAAACUGAGAAGCUUCAGAAGAAGUUAAGAAGGUUGGGCAGGCAGGGGUGGCUGUAGGUGUUAAGUGUCACUGUCCUUAUCAAAGUACCUGGAGAGCAUGAGAUCCAAGCUAUAAAUGGUGAAAAACCGUGGGAGUCAGAGUUCUGAGCCACUCAAAGAAGCAUGCAUAGGGUAGUUGCUUUAAGUUAGAAAGGGGGCUGGAGACUGAAUGUAUGAGUUGUUUUUACUUUGAAUUGGGGGGGUGGUUAAUUGUAUGACAGAGAAGAUGUAGGAAUCAUAAGUAGUACUAACACUGGAAACAGCUAGAGAUGGGGUGGAGCUCGGAAACUGUGAAACAUCCUGCUGAGCAUGGAUCCAGAACUUCCCUGAGGGUUCCACUUCUGCUGUAUAGGGUCUAGGUUGUAAAUUAACAAGCCCCAGGGCAUCUGCAGAUGCUAAGUGUGAUAGAGAGGGAUUGGAGUUGUCUGCUGGUGUAUCUGUGGGAAACAGCUGCUAUCCUUGAGGAAGAAAAGGUGGAGAAGGAAAGUGGCUACCUGUCUGCCAGUGACAACACAUGCUGUGAAGUCUUGCUCUUCUCAUUUCUGACGCUGUGGUUCUUAGAUCCAUCCUAAACCUGACAGCCUCAUUGAGGUUCACAGAGCGUCUCCUAUGUGACAGUAAGACUGAAAUUAUUAUCAGAGUGGAAUCCAUUCCUGCCAGAGUAAAACCGUGAAAGGAAAUCAUAGUAUUCAUUAUCUGCUUAUUAUUAUUAUUACUAUUAUUAUCAUUAUUUUUGGUGAGGAAGAUUGGCCCUGAGCUAACGUCUGUUCCAGUCGUCCUCUAUUUUGUAUAUGGCAUUCCGCCACAGCACGGCUUGACCAGCAGUGUGUAGGUCCACACCCGAAACCCGUGAACCCCAGGCCGCUGAAGGAGUGUGCUAACGGAACCAUGAUGCCACCUGGCCCACCCCUCUGCUUAUUAUUUUUAAUAGAUUGUGGGCUUCUAUGUUUCUUAUUUGGUGUAUGGCAAGUUGAUAAAUGACCCUUUGUUAAUACCCUUUAGUCUUCCUAUUUCAUUGUGAAAAAUCUGUUAUAAGUAAUGUUUUUUAAAAAUUAAAAUACAUGCAAAAAUGUUUUAAGGCAGCAUCUCCCAGUCUUUUUUAUCCCACAGAAUACUUAUAAUGUUUUCUAUCGGUUACCUGCCUUGAAGUAGAGGGAUUUACCUAUUUCCAUUACUUAAAAUAGAUGAGAGUCUUUGACAGAGGUAUAAAGAAAGGGGAGAAUUAUGAAAAGGGAAAAAAGAUAUAGAUGACAGAUUAAAAAGAAAUUUGGUAGUUUUGGCAAGGGAAUUAGGAGUACAAUCUUUGAUAAAAAUCUUGGUUGCUUAGUAUUAGAGCUUUGUGAUGAGAUGCAAUGUCCUGAGUGAGAACUGUUCUCAAGUACUUAAGAACACUAACACAAAAUUACCUCCUCUUUCAACACCCACAGUGACCUGGAACAUUUUCAACCUUUGAGAACUAUCACUUUUUCAAAGUCCAGCCUCAUGGUCUUUGUAAAAUGUUUUCCUGAUUAGCUCCUCCUCUAAGAAAUUUCCAGC